UAAGGCGAGGCGGAAACGCGUAGUCGAUGGGAAACAGAUUAAUAUUUCUGUACUUCUAUAUAUUGCGAAGGAGGGACGGAGUAGGCUAGGUGAGCACGGCGUUGGUAGUCCGUGUGAAAGUAUGUAGGCGGUUGUCUUAGGUAAAUCCGGGACUUCAUUCAACGCUGAGAUACGAGACGAGACUCUACGGAGUUGAAGUCAUUGAUGCCAUGCUUCCAGGAAAAGCUUCUAAGCUUCAGAUAUAUAGGAACCGUACCCCAAACCGACACAGGUGG
rnacentral:rRNA from 12 species